CCUACGGGAGGCUGCAGUGGGGAAUAUUGGACAAUGGGCGAAAGCCUGAUCCAGCCAUGCCGCGUGUGUGAAGAAGGCCUUCGGGUUGUAAAGCACUUUCAGUGGGGAAGAAAGCCUUGGGGCUAAUACCCUCGAGGAAGGACAUCACCCACAGAAGAAGCGCCGGCUAACUCCGUGCCAGCAGCCGCGGUAAUACGGAGGGUGCGAGCGUUAAUCGGAAUUACUGGGCGUAAAGCGCGCGUAGGCGGUCUGAUAAGCCGGUUGUGAAAGCCCCGGGCUCAACCUGGGAACGGCAUCCGGAACUGUCAGGCUAGAGUGCAGGAGAGGAAGGUAGAAUUCCCGGUGUAGCGGUGAAAUGCGUAGAGAUCGGGAGGAAUACCAGUGGCGAAGGCGGCCUUCUGGACUGACACUGACGCUGAGGUGCGAAAGCGUGGGUAGCAAACAGGAUUAGAUACCCGGGUAGUC
rnacentral:rRNA from 1 species